rnacentral:pre_miRNA from 1 species
AUAACUUUAGUCAUGGAGUUGGAACGUUUGCCUACGUUUGACGCUAGGGGUGCUGUUCCAACUGCAUACAAAUUUGAGUUA